rnacentral:rRNA from 1 species
UGCCAGACUCCUACGGGGGCAGCAGUGGGGGAUAUUGCGCAAUGGGGGAAACCCUGAUGCAGCAACGCCGCGUGAGUGAAGAAGGUCUUCGGAUUGUAAAGCUCUGUUCUUGGUGAAGAUAAUGACGGUAGCCAAGGAGAAAGCUCCGGCUAACUACGUGCCAGCAGCCGCGGUAAUACGUAGGGAGCGAGCGUUAAUCGGAAUUACUGGGCGUAAAGCGCUCGUAGGCGGUAUGUCAAGUCAAGGGUGAAAUCCCCGCGCUCAACGUGGGAACUGCCUUUGAAACUGGCAAACUGGAGUGUGUGAGAGGAUAGUGGAAUUCCAGGUGUAGGAGUGAAAUCCGUAGAUAUCUGGAGGAACAUCAGUGGCGAAGGCGACUAUCUGGCACAUAACUGACGCUGAGGAGCGAAAGCGUGGGUAGCAAACAGGAUUAGAUACCCCAGUAA